GACGAACGCUGGCGGCGUGCUUAACACAUGCAAGUCGAACGAAGUGGCGAACGGGUGAGUAACGCGUAAUAAACCGGCCCUUCAGAGGGGGACAACAGGUGGAAACGACUGCUAAUACCGCAUACGGAAGGUGGUGAUUGCGUCGGAUUAGCUCGUUGGGGGGGUAACGGCCCACCAAGGCGAUGAUCAGUAGGCGGUCUGGGGAGGUGAACGGCCAAAUUGGGACUGAGAAACGGGCCAGAAUUCUAACGGAGGGAGCAGGGGGGAAACUUCGGAAAUGGAGGAAAGUCUGACGGAGCAACGCCGCGUGAGUGAUGACGGCCUUCGGGUUGUAAAGGUAUGUUAAUCGGGACGCGGUACCGGAAUAGAAAGCCACGGCUAACUACGUGCCAGCAGCCGCGGUAAUAC
rnacentral:rRNA from 1 species